AAUCAACGCUGGCGGCGUGCCUAACACAUGCAAGUCGAACGCGAAAAGGGGCAACCCUGAGUAGAGUGGCGUCCGGGUGAGUAACACGUGGAUAAUCUGCCUGCGGGCGGGGAAGUAACUUUCCGAAAGGGGAGGCUAAUACCGCAUAACACCGUAAUAGGGCGAUCCUGAUACGGUCGAAAGAAGGGGGAGUCGCAAGACCUCUCGCCUGCAGAGGAGUCCGCGGCCGAUUAGCUAGUUGGCGAGGUAACGG
rnacentral:rRNA from 1 species